GCCGUAGGUCAGUGGCAGAACAUCUGCCUUGCAUGUAGAAGAUCCCAGGUUCAGUCCCUGACCAUUACCA